UACGGGGGGGGGCAAGCGUUGUUCGGAAUUACUGGGCGUAAAGAGCUCGUAGGCGGCUUGUCACGUCGGGUGUGAAAGCCCGGGGCUUAACCCCGGGUCUGCAUUCGAUACGGGCUAGCUAGAGUGUGGUAGGGGAGAUCGGAAUUCCUGGUGUAGCGGUGAAAUGCGCAGAUAUCAGGAGGAACACCGGUGGCGAAGGCGGAUCUCUGGGCCAUUACUGACGCUGAGGAGCGAAAGCGUGGGGAGCGAACAGG
rnacentral:rRNA from 1 species